rnacentral:lncRNA from 1 species
GCGAGUGGUAUAUUCGCAGAAUAAUCUGAGAUAGAUUUUGCUCUACAUGUAUGUAGGUUAUUUUCUGGUCGUGUUAGAAUUAUAUGUAUUAUACUCAGUUACAAAUAAAAAUGUAUGUACGUUGUGUAAUAAUUAUGACUAUAGGCAUUGUACUAGAGUUGUAAAUCUGUUGUUUUACUGUCUGAAUAUGAACAAAUAUGAUAGAAUUAAAUGAGGUGAACAAAUACCUUAAUAAGUUUAACUUUAAUGUGAAAAAAUACUGAUUAAUUGAAUGAGUUGAACAAAUACUUUAAUAUGUUCAGUGAGGUGAACAAAUUCCUCAAAAAAUUGAAUGAGAUGAACAAGUUGUACAAGGUGAACAAAAUAUGUUAGUAAAGUUAUUGAGGCAAACACGUACAUUCAUUAUUUGAAUAAGGUGAACAGAUACCUUAAAAAGUUGAAUGAGAUGGACAAAGAGGUAGUGGUUUUUGAUAAUGUGACAAAUAAAGUAGGAGAAUUAUAUAUAUAUGAUCCUCUCAGCUACUUAACUGUAGAUCAAGUCUUUGUUCCUGUAGUCAGGACUAUCUUGUGUAUACAAGUUUUAUUGCUCUAUGGCUGUGUUUGGGGUGCUCUGUGCUUCCAAAUCUACCCUUACCUUUUAUCUUUUAUUUGUUGUUUAUAAACCUAAAUAGAUCAAAGAUGAAUCGAUUUUACAGUCUGUAUAAAUUUUGACAAUAGUUUUGACAUUCCUUUUUAGUCACUGUCAGGUUAAAAAUUGUGCUGAAAAUAAAGUAAUAAGAAACAAAAUAAUUAUCGGAAUAAAUACUGAAGAUAUGUUCACCUUAGUGCAAACUGUGGACAAGUGCAUUGAUAUAAAGAAGCACUGAUAAACUUUCGGCAUUCAGGCACAUGAAUAAUUUGCAUACAUCGAAGAUUUUCAAUCAAACAUAUCUUAUUAUAUCAUCAUUCACAUUUUAAAACAAUUGUUGAAUACGUAAGGUUGUGACCAUUUAUCUGUAUACAAGUACUUACAGUUUUAGUGACCUAGAAGUACUAACAUCCUAUAAAGUCCAAUCUCAGUACAACAUCGGCUUACAUGUGACUAUCUCUCGAUCUAAAGUUAAGUAGCUAUGAUGUCCAACAAAAUUUCCUUUGUUUUCAACCCUUAAAUUUAUGUUAUCUUGAAAGACUGUGUUAUUGUUGUUUAUAUAAAGAGAUUUUUCAUUAUAUUUUUUAUUGUUUUCAGUAGACUUGUAUAAAUUUUAUUUCUUUAUAUUUUAACCAUAUAUUAUGCUAUGUAUGUACAGACUUCCUUUAAAGAAAAUCCAGUUACAUCCCACAUUGCAUGCUUUUCUUUUGGCAGUUGAACAAAAAAAUAAGUGGCAAAUUGAAAAUUAUUUAAUCAAAACUUCUCUUUACUCUCAAAGGUCAGAUCAUUUGAAAAUUCCGGUGAACUAUUUUUUUCAUAAAAAGUUAGCAGCAGAAUUCUUUAAGUUGAAAAAAAGAGAAACUCUGGUCCUAAGGUGUUGGUGCAUAUAGUAUGAAAUAUUGUAAUGUUAUCCCAUAGUGCCAUGUCUGUAAAACCUUUAGUUGCCUUACAUACAUGAAUCUGUCCAUUUUCUCUAUUUAUUUCAUUGAUUCCUAGCACCAUUGAUUUACUUGACUUACUGUUACCUCUGUCCAAAAAGUGGUUUACUGUACUGACAUAGAGAAACAGCUGAUUAAUUGUAUUGACAUAAGAAACAGUUAACGUGUUAACUGCAUUGACAUGAGAAGCAGUUAACCACUUUUUGCAUGAAGGUGAGGUAUGAAUAUGUUGUAGACUGUAUGCCACGUUCCUGUACUUUUUUAAAAACAUAGAUGCUAUUGUGCUGUUAAAGUGACAUUUGUUACACAUUUGCGAUUAUUGUUCUUUAGUAUGCAGCUGAAUAAGCUUGAUAGGGCAGCAUUUCAGAUGUAAACGUCUUAAAGGUGCACCAUUUCAGAUGUAAACAUCACAAAGGUGCACAAUUCCAGAUGUAAACGUCGUAAAGGUGCACCAUUUCAGAUGUAAACGUCGCAAAGGUGCACCAUUUCAGAUGUAAAGGUGCACCGUUACAGAUGUAAAUGUAAAGGUGCACACUUUCAGAUGUAAACGUCUUAAAGGUGCACCAUUUCAGAUGUAAAGGUGCACCGUUACAGAUGUAAAUGUAAAGGUGCACCAUUUCAGAUGUAAACGUCGCAAAGGUGACCUGUCCAGAUGUAAACAUCUUAAAGGGACACCACCCAAGAUGUAACUUGUUAUAGGACACCUUGACUAAAGACGGAACACAUUAAAGGGGUGUGUCUAUUUUUUUGUUCUUAGAAUUUAGAAAGUACUUUUUAUUGGUUAUUAUUUCGGAGAAAAUGUAAAUUCAGUGAAGAAGUCAGCUUGAGGCGGUAUUUAUUUGUAUAGCCUGUAAAAUAUUUGAAAAGCUCUCUUCUGCAUUAGUAACACAGUAAUUUUUUUUAAUGUAAAAUGGACUUAACUUGGCUGUUUUCUAUCAUUAAAUGAUAAUAAAUGACAAUUUGUGAAAAUAGUAAACAUUGCAAUAUACAUCUGGAGGCUUGCCCCUUUACAACCACUGAAAGACACGCUAUUUUAUGAGGAAUUUCUGACCAAAUGAAAAAUGUUGAAUGCUUUAAACUUUCAUUAUGCAAGAUAUCAAUUGGCAGUUUAUCCUUUAGCUUACAGCUUUUAUUUUGUGCAAGAUCAUUUAUAUACAUUGUUCUGGUAUUUUGACUGCAUAACUAGUCAUAUUUGUUGUGUAUAUAUAUACACGUUUGUUAUGCACCAGGUACAUAAAUAUAUGCAUAUUUGUAUAGUCAUUUUUGGCAUUAAAACAUACACAUUUUACAUUGAAGAACAAAUAGAAAAUGUUGUGUGUUGGAAGCAUCUGAUUGGAUGUUUCACAAUUCUAAAAUUAACCAAUGGCAAGCGUGUUUGUUAAGUAGAACAUUUUCAUUCAUGUCAUCAGAGGUGCAUUUUAAGAGUGAUACUUGCUUUCAAUGUUUAAAUUUUAAUUAAAGUCACAGAUGUUACCAUCUUUCUUUGCAAUUUUUUAUGUAAAUGUUCCUGUUGAAUUAGAUAAAUUUGGUGAAGUUAAAAACAACAUAUGAAACAUGAUUUCUAAACAACAUUUUAAAACUGUAUUUCUAUGUUCCUGUGUGCAUGGUUUUCACAUCAUAAAUUUCGUGCUCCUUGACUGAUAGGCUGCAGGAACAAACAUUUUUUACCAUAGAAGAAACAAAUAGGAUAUUUCAUAUUUCAUCCAGUGUUGAAGUGAACUCCAGAAAUACACUGUAUUCUGUAUAUUCAGCUGCUAAUAGUAAGUCCCAAAACAGGGGUCUUACGAUAGACUUUUGAUUGUUUUAACAGUUACAAACAUUUAAUAGAGGCUUCUUGAUAAGCUUUGUUUUAUUUUAGUGCAUUUUCAUCCAUCGAGAGAUUUGUCAGAAUUCAGAGACAAACCUCUGUUUCUCUCCUGUAUUUUAUGCAGCCUGUCAGAUUGAAAAUUGAGUAUUAUCAAUGCAAAAUAAUUGCUAACAAAGAAACAAGUAGAUACAGCAUGAUUAAUAAAAAUUUAAUUUUCUCACCAGAUAUUUGUAAAUUUACCUUGAGGAAUAAUGAUAUUCUUUGUAAUUUGAUGUUAAUAUUGAAAAGGAUUGGGUCCGGCUUUUCAUGGAAGGUUUUGAUUGGUUUGAAAAGGUCUAUCACAAAAUGUUUCUUAAUGGCUGAAACCUUUUAUCUGUAAGGUAACCAGACUAAAAAUACAGGCGAAAUGUGCGAGAGGUUCGGCUAGGGAAUCUUGGUAAAACUCUGGUAUGUGAGAAUGUUUUAGUGCAGCAGUUUCCUAUUUUGUACUCUCAGCUCGCUUCACAGGAAUGCCUGGAGAUUUCUAGUCUGCAGGUUAUUCCACAAGGAGCUAAAAGUCUUUGUGCUUCCUUUGUGAUAACUUCCUCCAAAAACAAAUUCGAAGUUUGUGCCCAAAAUGAAUUAUUCAGACAUUAUUGGAAAAUAUCUGUUUCUGUUCAUCAGAAAUCUAUAUUUUCCUAAGAACUGUAACAAAACUAAAAGAUUUUUUUUUUUUU